rnacentral:rRNA from 1 species
AUUGAACGCUGGCGGCAGGCUUAACACAUGCAAGUCGAGCGGGGGGAUGGUGCUUGCACUAUCACUUAGCGGCGGACGGGUGAGUAAUGCUUAGGAAUCUGCCUAUUAUUGGGGGACAACAUCUCGAAAGGGAUGCUAAUACCGCAUACGUCCUACGGGAGAAAGCAGGGGAUCACUUGUGACCUUGCGCUAAUAGAUGAGCCUAAGUCGGAUUAGCUAGUUGGGGGGGUAAAGGCCUACCAAGGCGACGAUCUGUAGCGGGUCUGAGAGGUGGAUCCGCCACACUGGGACUGAGACACGGCCCAGACUCCUACGGGAGGCAGCAGUGGGGAAUAUUGGACAAUGGGGGGAACCCUGAUCCAGCCAUGCCGCGUGUGUGAAGGAGGCCUUAUGGUUGUAAAGCACUUUAAGCGAGGAGGAGGCUCUUUUGGUUAAUACCCAAGAUGAGUGGACGUUACUCGCAGAAUAAGCACCGGCUAACUCUGUGCCAGCAGCCGCGGUAA